AGGCUCUCCUUGGCUCUCUCCCAUUCGCCGCCCUCCGCCCUCCGCCCUCCGCCCUCCUCUCCAGCUCUGUCGCGCCAUCUCGACUCCCCUGUGGUUCGCUCUGCUGUGCACCUCCGCUUCACCUUUCUCAGCAUUUCGGCGCGAGGUUUCGAAGAUGGGGUGCAAGUUCACCUUUCUCGUCUACGCGAUCCUCCAGCUCAUCGCGUUCCUUUCCGUGCUGAUCGGUACGCCGCUGGACAUGUUUCGUGGCGAUUUGAAUGAUUUUGGUGAAAGACCGUGCGUGACGUUGUGGGGCUUUAAGCGGAUGUGCUACAGCAUCGUAUAUGCCCUGGACACAGACGAGAAGUGGGCUACGUGCCACAAACGACGCAGUCGUUUCCGCAUGGCUGAGGCGUUGGCUGCCAUCUCCAUCAUGGUAUACUGCGCGGCCUUCGUCUUGGGCGUCAUUAUGCUGUUCUGCUGCUCUUUGCUCCGCUGGGUAUGCCUGACGCUCAACGUCGUUGGCCUCUUAACGUUGGGCAUCACGUGGGUGUUCAUGGUGCUCGCCUACGUUCAGGAAGAUGGCGUUCUUUGCCCUGCUCUCCGAACGGACUACAAGUUUGGCUACGGCUUCUUUCUCCUGUUGGUGGCCUGGGUCCUGGAUCUCGUCGACAUCGUCUUCUUGCUGAUCCCUGUCCACAGAAAGAACUCUGUUGAGGGUGGAACCUCUAAGAUAUACACAGAGCCGGAAUAGGCGGAAGGGAGCCGCAGGAGGCGGAGGGGCGGUGUUGCUAGCCGCGCGGCAGCUUCGCGACGACGCGCUCGUGGAGGAGCCGGCGGAGCUGAUGUCAGCGUGCCAGAGGGAGGGAGCGAGGGCUGCGGAUACUCGCCCCUGCCCUUCGCCGGCAGCUCUCCGUCUGCUGCUCGCUGCCCUCUCGUGCGUGCGCGUGAGGUGCGCCGCACGCGCUGCCGAGGGGGUGCAGACGUGCAGGCACGCCCUGGCAUGCACAUGCCGAGGAGCCGCUCUCGCUUUCUGCGCUUCCGCGUCUCUUUCUCCGUUUCCCGUCGUGCUGCAUUGCUGUCGAGUGCCAGUGCGGCGUAUGCGGGCACUUGCUGACGUGUUCAUGGUUUCUCCCUCGCCUGUCUUCGUCUUCUCGUGCGUGUGCCGCUUGUUGAGCUUUCCGCCUCUCGCCUCGCUGUUGCCUUUUCUGCUGACCUGCGCAGCGGUCUGCGCGUUGUGGUGGGCAGCGCACCCUUGACGGCGACCCGCCCACCGAUGACCCCUCCCUCCCCCUCUGAGCGGUCGCCCUCGCUGCCUUGUUGAGGCAGGCCCCCCCCCUCUCCCCCGCACGCUCGGCGGGCGCAGCCUUGGCGAGACGAGAGGGCGAGCGGGGAAGCGAGGGGGUGGCACGGGCGUCGCCGGCCGGAGCAUUGAGGUGUGCAAGCGAGGGUGCACGGCUGCGAGGGCGAGGGAAGGCCGACGACGAGAACGGGCGAGGAAGAGACGGACGCGCUGGAAAGAGGGACGGUGAGCGCAAGGCCGCCCCGCACUGGUGGCCAGCCUCCGCCCCCUCCCUCCGUACAUCGGUGUCGCGGCCGCGCGUGUUUCCUGUACUUCUCUGGGGCGCCCCCUCUCGCCGCGUCUCUGUCUCCUCGCCCUCACGCACGCCGCAUGGACUCCUCAAACGGAGAGGGGGGAGGGGGCGGGGUGCCACGUGUGUGGUGGUGGCGGGCGCAGGAACCAAACGGGCUAAUGGGCGGACGGCGCGGGGAGGAGAGAGGACGGCGUCCGCGGACCCAGAAGCGACACACAGGUGCGUACGCAGCGCUAAAGAGGGGCGAUUGCAGCUCUUGCUCCUCUUGGUUCCUUGCGCCCCAUGCACGGCCUACGUGUGCGCGCACACACCGACGCGCGCGCAGGUGCGCAGGAGGGGCGGCACCCCCUGCUGCCGUGUAAGGGGCUGCGGUGUCGGGCGGGGCAGUGGGGAGAGAGAGGGCGAGGCUGGCGAGGUGGCGGGUGGGCGGCUCUCCAUGGUGCACGAAGGGCGACCUCACGUCGGACGUGGGCGUGCGUGGUGAGGCGUGUGCCCUUUGCGUUGCUCUCGAGCCCUCGUCGCGUUUGUGCCCUCCGCUGUUUUCCGUGUCUCUUUCUGCUUCCGCAUGGACGCGCGCCUCCCCUCGACCCCCGCUGUCGCACACGGCAUGCGCGUGUGUGCCGGUGCAUGCGCCCUUGUGACCGUCCUCCCCCUUCCUCAGCGGAUGCCCCCUCCCCGCCGCCCCUCUCUUGCUGCGGCGACUGCCCCGCGCUCCUCGCACUCCCAGGGAGGAAGAAGCGCCGCUGCGACAGGAGAGCCGCCGAGCACACCCUCUGUCUCGCCCCCCCCUUAUGUUGCCGCUGCUUCCUCCUCUCGUCUCGUGCUCUUGUGCGCACCCGCCGCUACGCGUCUUCACUUGCUUUGCUGCUCUUUUCCGCGUGCCGGUACCCGCGCUCCCCUUUCUCUCGGUCCUCCGCAGGCCACGGACGCGUGGGGCCCGCCUGCGUGUGCGUGUGCGUGUGCGUCUCUCCCGUCGCUUUAUGCGCGCCGCUGUCCUUCUCUUGUGCCUCUCUCCCCGUGCGCAGGCGAGAGGGGCUGGCUGAGACGGCGAAGAGAACGGCCACGGCAGCACAGCGGAGCAGGGGGACGGGGGAGGGGGUGAGUGCGCAACGGCGACGGCGCCCCCAAAGGAUAGAGGGGAGCUAAAGGAAGGGCGCGAAUAAAUGCCGAGCGGGGUGUGCGAAAACGACGAGAGAGAGAGGCUGUGCUAACCCUUCAACAGGAGUGCGUGCCUGCGUGUGUGUGCUUGUCUCUGUGCGCGUUGUGUCUUUAUUAUGUCUUCGCCUUUCUUGUGUCGCUUCUUUUGCUUUUCUUUGUUUCGAUGCCUAAUCACACCACCGAGUCCUCCAG
rnacentral:misc_RNA from 1 species